AGCCCCGUGGUGUUAUCACGUUGGAUUGCAACCCCAAAAACGCCCCAAUUCGGUGCCGGGGCU
rnacentral:tRNA from 1 species